rnacentral:rRNA from 1 species
ACUGCUCAGUAACACGUGGAUAACCUGCCCUUGGGUCCGGCAUAACCCCGGGAAACUGGGGAUAAUUCCGGAUAACGCACAUAUGCUGGAAUGCUUUAUGCGUAAAAUGGAUUCGUCUGCCCAAGGAUGGGUCUGCGGCCUAUCAGGUAGUAGUGGGUGUAAUGUACCUACUAGCCAACAACGGGUACGGGUUGUGAGAGCAAGAGCCCGGAGAUGGAUUCUGAGACAUGAAUCCAGGCCCUACGGGGCGCAGCAGGCGCGAAAACUUUACAAUGCGGGAAACCGUGAUAAGGGGACACCGAGUGCCAGCAUCAUAUGCUGGCUGUCCAGGUGUGUAAAAUACACCUGUUAGCAAGGGCCGGGCAAGACCGGUGCCAGCCGCCGCGGUAACACCGGUGGCCCGAGUGGUGAUCGUGAUUAUUGGGUCUAAAGGGUCCGUAGCCGGUUUGGUCAGUCCUCCGGGAAAUCUGACGGCUCAACCGUUAGGCUUUCGGGGGAUACUGCCAGGCUUGGAACCGGGAGAGGUAAGAGGUACUACAGGGGUAGGAGUGAAAUCUUGUAAUCCCUGUGAGACCACCUGUGGCGAAGGCGUCUUACCAGAACGGGUUCGACGGUGAGGGACGAAAGCUGGGGGCACGAACCGGAUUAGAUACCCGGGUAGUCCCAGCCGUAAACGAUGCUCGCUAGGUGUCAGGCAUGGCGCGACCGUGUCUGGUGCCGCAGGGAAGCCGUGAAGCGAGCCACCUGGGAAGUACGGCCGCAAGGCUGAAACUUAAAGGAAUUGGCGGGGGAGCAC